rnacentral:lncRNA from 1 species
AGAUUUGAAGAGAACGAGAGUAAGUUAGGUCUCAGAUCCAGGUGGAGGCAGGCAGUCCAGCGAAGGGCAGUGGGUUUCAGAUUCGGAAGUUCCAAAGUAGGGAAAAGAUGACGUGUGUCGCUCACUCCAGCAGGUUUCCUCUCUGCCCUUGCAGCCUGUAUCUAGCCUGACAGAGAACAUUGUACACACUCACAGGCAGCUGGGCCUACUUAUGAGCUAGAUUUAGCUGACUUACUGGGUCCAGUCCCUGAGGGGUGUCCUACCUCCCAAAGACGUUUUUGUAAAUAUCUUCCUAGUCCCAGGACUCACAACUUCAUGUACAGGAUAUCCCACUGUUGAGGAAGAAGAUUCGUUUUCCUUUUUUUCCUUUCCCUUUUUAAUUCACCUAGAUAUUGCAUGGAGAAUUGAUUCGUUUAAUUACUUUAUGCAUUCUCAGUUGUUUGGAAUGAGAAGUCUUUGAGAACUCAUGGCUCUCCACAUCAGCAAUUUCCCUAGGCUUAGUACCUUUGUCAAACACAUGCUUGCCCCUAUGCCCUUACUACAAGAUAGUACCUCUGGUGUCAAUACCUGCAGCUUUUGGUUGAGAUGAUAUGUAUGAUGCUAAAGGACUACAUUGUACCUCUCAAUAUUACUUAUGGAUGAAACAUAACAAUAUUACUCCUUUAAAAAAAUUUUUUAUAGUCUCUGGUACUUGUUAAGUCAUUCCAGACUUGCUAGAAAAUUCUUUUUAUCUCCCCAGGAAAAGUAAAGAAUUUCUACUUGUUAUUAACAAAUGAAUGCCCAGAAACUUUGAAAGAAUCCAGUCUAAAAAUGUUAAAUUUCAUUUGGUCUUUCAAAGCCGCAGUCAAAAUCACUUUCCAGGCCACAAGUAUGCUUUUGAAAGCAUGUUGAGGUGCUUCUGUGAUGUGUGAUUGGUAUAUUGCACAAUAUACCACAAUAGGGUGGGCUUUGUCUCUUUUGCAAGUAAGAUAUGCCAACUUGAGUAGUUCUGUGUGGUUUUAGUGUUAUUAUAGGGGAGCUAGGAUGAAAACUGCUUCUUUAUUCUCUCUUUCUCUCUGUCUCUUAUGUUCAUCAUGUGAAAUUGUAAGGCGAUUUCUUUGUUUCUGACAAUAAUAGCUAUUUAAAUUAUCCCUUCCUUUAAAAAUCUGUGAUCUAGAAAAUUACAUCACAAAUAACUUUCAUUAUGUGAAGAAAUGUCAUUUUUAAUUUAUAACAAAAAUUUGCUAGGAAAUUAUUCUUUACUGCCGGAUUUUAAAGACCCAUUACUUGAAG